UCAGGAUGAACGCUAGCUACAGGCUUAACACAUGCAAGUCGAGGGGCAGCAUGGUCUUAGCUUGCUAAGGCCGAUGGCGACCGGCGCACGGGUGAGUAACACGUAUCCAACCUGCCGUCUACUCUUGGACAGCCUUCUGAAAGGAAGAUUAAUACAAGAUGGCAUCAUGAGUCCGCAUGUUCACAUGAUUAAAGGUAUUCCGGUAGACGAUGGGGAUGCGUUCCAUUAGAUAGUAGGCGGGGUAACGGCCCACCUAGUCUUCGAUGGAUAGGGGUUCUGAGAGGAAGGUCCCCCACAUUGGAACUGAGACACGGACCAAACUCCUACGGGAGGCAGCAGUGAGGAAUAUUGGUCAAUGGCCGAGAGGCUGAACCAGCCAAGUCGCGUGAAGGAAGAAGGAUCUAUGGUUUGUAAACUUCUUUUAUAGGGGAAUAAAGUGGAGGACGUGUCCUUUUUGUAUGUACCCUAUGAAUAAGCAUCGGCUAACUCCGUG
rnacentral:rRNA from 1 species